rnacentral:rRNA from 1 species
GUGCCAGCAGCCGCGGUAAUACGUAGGGUGCAAGCAUUGUCCGGAUUUAUUGGGCGUAAAGAGCUCGUAGGCGGCUUGUCACGUCGGGUGUGAAAACUCGGGGCUCAACCCCGAGCCUGCACUCGAUACGGGCUAGCUAGAGUGUUGCAGGGGAGACUGGAAUUCCUGGUGUAGCGGUGAAAUGCGCAGAUAUCAGGAGGAACACCGGUGGCGAAGGCGGGUCUCUGGGCAACUACUGACGCUGAGGAGCGAAAGCGUGGGGAGCGAACAGGAUUAGAAACCCUGGUAGUCC